rnacentral:rRNA from 1 species
ACACAUGCAGUCGAGCGGAUGAGAGGAGCUUGCUCCUGGAUUCAGCGGCGGACGGGUGAGUAAUGCCUAGGAAUCUGCCUGGUAGUGGGGGACAACGUUUCGAAAGGAACGCUAAUACCGCAUACGUCCUACGGGAGAAAGCAGGGGACCUUCGGGCCUUGCGCUAUCAGAUGAGCCUAGGUCGGAUUAGCUAGUUGGUGAGGUAAUGGCUCACCAAGGCGACGAUCCGUAACUGGUCUGAGAGGAUGAUCAGUCACACUGGAACUGAGACACGGUCCAGACUCCUACGGGAGGCAGCAGUGGGGAAUAUUGGACAAUGGGCGAAAGCCUGAUCCAGCCAUGCCGCGUGUGUGAAGAAGGUCUUCGGAUUGUAAAGCACUUUAAGUUGGGAGGAAGGGCAGUAAAUUAAUACUUUGCUGUUUUGACGUUACCGACAGAAUAAGCACCGGCUAACUCUGUGCCAGCAGCCGCGGUAAUACAGAGGGUGCAAGCGUUAAUCGGAAUUACUGGGCGUAAAGCGCGCGUAGGUGGUUCGUUAAGUUGGAUGUGAAAUCCCCGGGCUCAACCUGGGAACUGCAUUCAAAACUGUCGAGCUAGAGUAUGGUAGAGGGUGGGUGGAAUUUCCUGUGUAGCGGUGAAAUGCGUAGAUAUAGGAAGGGACACCAGUGGCGAAGCGACCACCUGGACUGAUACUGACACUGAGUGCGAAAGCGUGGGGAGCAAACAGAUUAGAUACCCUGGUAGUCCACGCCGUAACGAUGUCACUAGCCGUUGGGAGCC